rnacentral:rRNA from 1 species
UACGGAGGGGGCUAGCGUUGUUCGGAAUUACUGGGCGUAAAGCGCGCGUAGGCGGACCUGCAAGUCGGGGGUGAAAGCCCGAGGCUCAACCUCGGAACUGCCUUCGAUACUGCGGGUCUCGAGUCCGGGAGAGGUGAGUGGAAUUCCUAGUGUAGAGGUGAAAUUCGUAGAUAUUAGGAAGAACACCAGUGGCGAAGGCGGCUCACUGGCCCGGUACUGACGCUGAGGCGCGAAAGCGUGGGGAGCAGACAGG